rnacentral:rRNA from 1 species
UUGAACGCUGGCGGCAUGCCUUACACAUGCAAGUCGAACGGCAGCACGGGUGCUUGCACCUGGUGGCGAGUGGCGAACGGGUGAGUAAUACAUCGGAACAUGUCCUGUAGUGGGGGAUAGCCCGGCGAAAGCCGGAUUAAUACCGCAUACGAUCCAUGGAUGAAAGCGGGGGACCUUCGGGCCUCGCGCUAUAGGGUUGGCCGAUGGCUGAUUAGCUAGUUGGUGGGGUAAAGGCCUACCAAGGCGACGAUCAGUAGCUGGUCUGAGAGGACGACCAGCCACACUGGGACUGAGACACGGCCCAGACUCCUACGGGAGGCAGCAGCGGGGAAUUUUGGACAAUGGGCGAAAGCCUGAUCCAGCAAUGCCGCGUGUGUGAAGAAGGCCUUCGGGUUGUAAAGCACUUUUGUCCGGAAAGAAAUCCUUGGUUCUAAUAUAGCCGGGGGAUGACGGUACCGGAAGAAUAAGCACCGGCUUAACCCCCCUACGUGCCAGCAGCCGCGGUAAUACGUAGGGUGCGAGCGUUAAUCGGAAUUACUGGGCGUAAAGCGUGCGCAGGCGGUUUGCUAAGACCGAUGUGAAAUCCCCGGGCUCAACCUGGGAACUGCAUUGGUGACUGGCAGGCUAGAGUAUGGCAGAGGGGGGUAGAAUUCCACGUGUAGCAGUGAAAUGCGUAGAGAUGUGGAGGAAUACCGAUGGCGAAGGCAGCCCCCUGGGCCAAUACUGACGCUCAUGCACGAAAGCGUGGGGAGCAAACAGGAUCAGAUACCCUGGUAGUCCACGCCCUAAACGAUGUCAACUAGUUGUUGGGGAUUCAUUUCCUUAGUAACGUAGCUAACGCGUGAAGUUGACCGCCUGGGGAGUACGGUCGCAAGAUUAAAACUCAAAGGAAUUGACGGGGACCCGCACAAGCGGUGGAUGAUGUGGAUUAAUUCGAUGCAACGCGAAAAACCUUACCUACCCUUGACAUGGUCGGAAUCCUGCUGAGAGGUGGGAGUGCUCGAAAGAGAACCGGCGCACAGGUGCUGCAUGGCUGUCGUCAGCUCGCGUCGUGAGAUGCUGGGUUAAGUCCCGCAACGAGCGCAACCCUUGUCCUUAGUUGCUACGCAAGAGCACUCUAAGGAGACUGCCGGUGACAAACCGGAGGAAGGUGGGGAUGACGUCAAGUCCUCAUGGCCCUUAUGGGUAGGGCUUCACACGUCAUACAAUGGUCGGAACAGAGGGUUGCCAACCCGCGAGGGGGAGCUAAUCCCAGAAAACCGAUCGUAGUCCGGAUUGCACUCUGCAACUCGAGUGCAUGAAGCUGGAAUCGCUAGUAAUCGCGGAUCAGCAUGCCGCGGUGAAUACGUUCCCGGGUCUUGUACACACCGCCCGUCACACCAUGGGAGUGGGUUUUACCAGAAGUGGCUAGUCUAACCGCAAGGAGGACGGUCACCACGGUAGGAUUCAUGACUGGGGUG